rnacentral:rRNA from 1 species
GAUGAACGCUGGCGGCGUGCCUAAUACAUGCAAGUCGAGCGAACGGACGAGAAGCUUGCUUCUCUGAUGUUAGCGGCGGACGGGUGAGUAACACGUGGAUAACCUACCUAUAAGACUGGGAUAACUUCGGGAAACCGGAGCUAAUACCGGAUAAUAUUUUGAACCGCAUGGUUCAAAAGUGAAAGACGGUCUUGCUGUCACUUAUAGAUGGAUCCGCGCUGCAUUAGCUAGUUGGUAAGGUAACGGCUUACCAAGGCAACGAUGCAUAGCCGACCUGAGAGGGGUACGGGCCCACCUGGAACGGAGACACGGGCCAAACCCCCAGGGGGGGAAGGCGUGGGGAAUCUUCCGAAAUGGGGGAAAGCCUGACGGGGCAACGCCGCGUGGGUGAUGAAGGUCUUCGGAUUGUAAAACCUUGUUAUUGGGGAAGAAAAAUUGUGUAAGAAACGGGCCACAUUUUGACGGUACCUAAUCAAAAAGCCACGGCUAACUACGG